UACGAAGGGGGCUAGCGUUGCUCGGAAUGACUGGGCGUAAAGGGCGCGUAGGCGGUUUGUACAGUCAGGUGUGAAAUCCCCGGGCUCAACCUGGGAACUGCAUUUGUGACUGCAUCGCUGGAGUGCGGCAGAGGGGGAUGGAAUUCCGCGUGUAGCAGUGAAAUGCGUAGAUAUGCGGAGGAACACCGAUGGCGAAGGCAGGUCUCUGGGCAUUAACUGACGCUGAGGAGCGAAAGCAUGGGGAGCGAACAGG
rnacentral:rRNA from 1 species